rnacentral:rRNA from 1 species
UACGGAAGGCAGCAGUGGGGAAUAUUGCACAAUGGGCGCAAGCCUGAUGCAGCCAUGCCGCGUGUAUGAAGAAGGCCUUCGGGUUGUAAAGUACUUUCAGUCGUGAGGAAGGUGUUAAGGUUAAUAACCUUAGCAAUUGACGUUAGCGACAGAAGAAGCACCGGCUAACUCCGUGCCAGCAGCCGCGGUAAUACGGAGGGUGCGAGCGUUAAUCGGAAUUACUGGGCGUAAAGGGCACGCAGGCGGUUAAUUAAGUUGGAUGUGAAAUCCCCGGGCUUAACCUGGGAAUGGCAUUCAAGACUGGUUAGCUAGAGUCUUGUAGAGGGGGUAGAAUUCCAUGUGUAGCGGUGAAAUGCGUAGAGAUGUGGAGGAAUACCGGCGGCGAAGGCGGCCCCUGGCAAAGACUGACGCUCAUGUGCGAAAGCGUGGGGAGCAAACAGGGAUUAGAUACC